rnacentral:rRNA from 1 species
UACGAAGGGGGCAAGCGUUGUUCGGAUUUACUGGGCGUAAAGGGUGCGUAGGCGGUCUAAAAAGUUGGAUGUGAAAGCCCCGGGCUCAACCCGGGAAUAGCAUUCAAAACUGCUAGACUUGAGUGUGGAAGAGGAUGGUGGAAUUUCCAGUGUAGAGGUGAAAUUCGUAGAUAUUGGAAAGAACACCCGUGGCGAAGGCGGCCAUCUGGUCCAUAACUGACGCUGAGGCACGAAAGCGUGGGGAGCAAACAGG